rnacentral:rRNA from 1 species
AUACGGAGGGUGCAGGCGUUACUCGGAAUCACUGGGCGUAAAGCGCGCGCAGGCGGCUAUUUAAGUUGGAUGUGAAAGCCUACGGCUCAACCGUAGAACUGCAUCCAAAACUAUUUAGCUAGAGUGUGGGAGAGGAAGAUGGAAUUAGUUGUGUAGGGGUAAAAUCCGUAGAGAUAACUAGGAAUACCAAAAGCGAAGGCAAUCUUCUGGAACACUACUGACGCUGAGGCGCGAAAGCGUGGGGAGCAAACGGGAUUAGAUACCCUUGUAGUCC